rnacentral:misc_RNA from 1 species
CCAGCCGGUGCGGGUCGCCCUU